rnacentral:lncRNA from 1 species
AUUUUGUUUAUUUUCGAAAAUAGAGAGAGAGCCGCGUGUCUCAAGGUGUAGAGUCAUCAGCAUCUUCUUCCUCCGAUAACUACCUCGUCAUCUCGUCUCAAAUUUCUUCAUCACUCCCAUUCUUACUCAGCACAUAAACUACACCACCCAGAAAUUCAAGACAUGGAAUAUCAAAAACCAUAAGAAGAAAUAAGAAGUAAGAAGAAGCUAAGGUUCAAUCGACGGAGAGAAGAUGGUGACUUGACGUUCAAUCGACGGAGAGAAGAUGGUGACUUGACGAUCUUUCUGGUGGAGUUCCAGCGAGCGGGGUAUGCGUUGAAAGCCGCUGUAGAAGCUUUGAUUUGGUGGAAAUUCUACCCGUUUGAUUUAGUGACGAUUGCUCGAUUUUGUCAAAGAUAUUCAGCCUACUAUUAAUUUUAUAAUCCGAUUUGAUGUAUUUUGACUUCGAAUUUCAAUUUCGUUUCUUCAUAAAAAUCGUAGAAUAGGCUGAAUACUGUUAGAAUAAUUUAUUUUUCUCAAUUUUAGAACCCUCGUUGAAACUUAUUUUUAACUCUAUAGUAGCUUCAAAAGGAAUUUUCGAAAAUAAAACUUGUUGUUGUUGCUCUGAUUUUCGGAACACAAGUUGGGAGCUUUGGAAUUUGAAUUUUAAAGUCUUUUCUUCUCAAACAUCAUAGAUUUUCUGGAGCACAUUAGUUAUAUGUUGAAGCGCGUUCCAUAUGAUUUGAGUUCUAUAGGCUUUUUGAACAGAGGAAUAUGGGAGUUGAAGCUGUCAAUUCUGGCAGUUCGUAUGAUUAAUCUUUUGGGGUUGAGUCAUAAGUUGAAGUUGUUAUGUUCGAUUUGAUAUAUUAUUUGUUAAAUUUGGAUAACAUUUCGAAUUAUUAUGAUUUUUCAAAACAUACUGCCAGGAAAUGAAUUUUUGUAAAAUCUUGGCAGUUUCUGUUACCCUUUUUGGGGGCUGUUUUAGCUAUGUUGUGCUCAUAAUUCGAAAAUGGUGUCUUCAUUAAACUCGUAGAUAUUGUUCUUGGCUUUAAAUUGGUAUAUUAUGUGUUCUGUUUCGAGAUGUGUAUAGCAUGGUAUUAUUUUUCGAAUAACUUGUACCAAAAAUGAUUUUUCAAUGUUUUGGCAGUUAUGUUACAUGCUGGUUUCGGGUAAUUCUGCUAUAUAUGGUUCAGAAUUUGGGAUUAAAGUCUUCUGUGAACUCGUAGGAUUAUUAGUUAGCUUUCAUUCGAUGUAUUAUGUGAUCAAUUUGAAAAAACUUGGAAUUUGUAAUGAAUUUUUGAGUAAACUGUGGCAGCAUAUAAGUUUUAUUAUUAUGUUGAGAAAAUCGUCAUAUAUGAACAAACUCUGUGGGUAAGGUCUUGGUUCAUUAAUCUGGUAACAUAAACGCGAUGUUUAUGUGUUAAGUUUUGAUGUUUGUUAUGGUGUUAGAUUAAAUUAGAAUUGGUAAGUGAAUUAUUCGGCCUUAAGGGCAUAGAAACCUAGGACGACGUAGAAUGUAUAUUAAUUUAUUUUAAUAAAUAUUUGGUGUCUUAUAGUUUAAAUAUUGCAUAGGUGUUGAGAUCGAGGAACCGUAACAGACGAGUGCUAUUGAUUGGACCAAGGUGAGGGUUCUCUGACCUUUUCCUAGGAAUAUGAUUGUAUCGCUCGAGUACUUGGAUUUUGCUCUCUUUCAUUGAAUUGAUCUAUUCGUUAUCAUUUUGAUUAUCGUUAAUUGAAAUUUAUUGGAUUAUGUUGAGCUUGAGAUUAUUUGAUAUCUUAUCGAGAGUUCAAUUCUUUGAUUUCCAUUUCCUUCGAAUAGUAAUUAUUGAGUGAUCGGUAUAAAAUUCUUUGAAGCCGAUCAUUUUCCUUCGAGUUCUAUUCAAUGGUCUAAACUUCAUGUUUUGAACCAUCAAGCCUUUCUUUGAGCCGUUCACUUGAUCAUGUUUCUCCUGAAUUCUAUCGUCUUUGAAAUCCUGAAAUAAUCGGAAUAAUAUGGUCUUCUUAUAUAAUCGAAGAAGUCCUUUUGGGACGCCUGAAGGACAUUGGAUUUUUAUGGGCCCGAGGCUGUUUGGAGGUGACUGUUGGGCGAUAUCGGGCCGACGGUGGGUAGUCUCUCCAACAGACCCUCAUAGGUUUCGACCCGUACGCAACUGGAAGUUAGUUGGGUUUCGGGCUAAACCGGCAUGCGCCCGUGUUGGGAAUCGGACACGUGUACGUAGCGGAAAACAAAAAUUUUAUGCGAUUUAAAUGAAUUUAAAAAACAUAAACACAUGCCCGAUAAUAGAAAACAAUUAAUUGCGUACCUUUGCGCUUCCAGCGAAAUUAAAAACAACAUACAUGCUUAAUUACUUAACCGAAAUUAAAUCAAUUAGCAUGCUCGCGUUUAAAUCAAAUAAUCAUGCUCGCAAUAAAUAAACGAUUUCAUGUAGUCACAUAAAAUCAUACAAGUUUCAUACUAGAACAAACAUAUAUAUUCGAUUUAAACGUAAUCGAAUCUAACGACAAUGGAUUCAAAAAUUUACCUCUUGAAGCGUGAGGUAGGCGCACUAUGCAAAGCUAGAUUGCCACGGAAACCAACCCGUGCAAUCCGGGGCAGCAACGGCGAAACGGCAGCAGCUACUAGACGAGCUGCGGCGGCGCGUGUGGCUCACGCGCUGUCUUCGGGCGGCGCGUGGGAUUGCGUGCGGCGUCGGCUCGUGUGCUGCUCCUCGAUUCUUCGAUCUUCAAUCUUCCUCCUCUUGGAUUUCACCUCGUAUACUUCGAUCUACUAAACACGUGGCACUAGACACGUAAUAGUUAGAAAAAUGGAAGAACAAAAAGAAGGAAAGAACUACCAAUGCGAAUCGGCCAAGAGAUGGCCGAUUCCGGCGACGGCGGCGUUGGUGCCGGUUGGGAGAGUGGCCGAGAGAGAGAGGGAGCGGCUAGGGUUAGGGUUUCGUGUGUUGUAUGUGUGCAAGACCUAUAAAUCAAGUAUUUAUAGUGUCUUGCAUAAAACCCUAACGGGCUUAAGUUGGACCGGGCCCAACAGCUUAAGUUCGUUAGUUCUUUUACUUGCUCGUCUCUCUCAAUUCGAUGAUCGGAAAAUUGUAACGAUUACAUUUUCGGAAUCAUUAUAAUGUCUUCGUCAUUACGAGUGCCAACUCUCGAUUUCCAACUUUCCAAAAGUGGAAACCCUAAUUCAGUGCACUUUCUAAAUUUGGAAACUUCCCGAUUUAGAAAGUCCACUAAUAUGUUUGCCUAUUCUUUUCCUUUUCUUAUUCUCAUUCAUACUUCCAAAUUACGAAUGUUGGACCCAAUCAUGCAAAGAUAAACCAUUUUAUCUCUUACCGUUUAUUCAAAGAUCUCAUGUGCACGAGCAGUGUGACCCUCGAUGGUUCAUGUGUAAGCUAGCCAUGGGCCCACAACCCUUUGUGGUCAAAACUCGUCCCUUAGAGUUACGAUUAAGUUGAAACUCGUUUCACCUUAAUCACCCAACGAAUCAAGAUUGGCGUCUAGCAACUACGCGUCAUGAUUCCCUAGAUACAAAUGAAGUGCCUGCAAGAACCUUCAGAUAUAGUUAACGUACAGUACGAUCCCUUCGAUUCAUAUGUCCCGAUUGAACUAGAGGCAUUGGUUCAUCGAGACCUUUUUAUUUGUUCAAUGACCAUGCGAUCGUUCUAAGUGUUGUAAUCGUUACGUGCAUGAGUUAGAGAAUCGAAUUCUCUAAUCAUCACUUAGUCAGCUCUGGCCAGAGACUUAAAGUGAUUACAAACUAUCAGAACACACAUGACAUCCAAGACUAUUCUAGCGAUCGAAUCCCCGACUACAAUGCACAGACCUCCACUAGAUUUCGGACUGCACGAACACUGGCCCUUGGGAUGGUCCUCGGUGGAACUCAGGGACAGGUCACGAUACAGCUGGUCCUCUAGUGAAGUCACGGUGAUGUCUAGGUCAUAAGGACUAAUGGUGUACAACUAUACCAUAGAUAUCUCUACUCGAUUAUUGGGAACCACUUAGAGAUUUCUAGGGUGAGGGAGUUCAGUGAACUCGUCAACUUACGAGCACCCACUUAUGCAUGCCGAUAUCACAAUAUCGUUUACUGAUGAGAUGCAGUACACAUACACUAAGUGCUAGUCUCUUAAUGGGAAAGGCCGAUAUCCUCAUUGGUGGCGUAACCCUUCGACUAGGAACAUGUUUAACAGUUAUAAUACUUAAGUAAAUAUCUCACGAUCCUAACGAUCAAUUACUAGUACUUGUAAUAACUGUAAGGAUUAUAUCUAUGCUUGUGACAAAGGGACAAAGAUAUAGAAUGCCAAGGUGUUUUAUCAUUAAUACGAAUAAAGGUUCGUUCAUUACCAUAAUAAAUACGAAAGACCACAGCCACAUGUUGGCUUGUUGGUCACCUACUCUAACAGCCCGGGCAUGCCACAUUGCAUUACAGGGUCAUUACCUGCUCGGUAAAUAAGAUAGUAAACGGCUACGGGAGUCACAAGGUAGGUGUAUUCUUAUCUCUAUUGAUCCAAAAAUCGAUUAAUCAUUCUUACUAUUUAUUCUUGAAUUUCCAAUCGAAAUAUAACCUUUAAACGCUUCUAUUUUCCGAUAUCACCUAAUGGUUCGAUCAUUGAACUUUCCCUCGGAUCAUGUCGUCACUCGUUAUUCUUAUAUUUAACCUCACUAAGUCUUCUAUGACUUGUCCCUCAAUUUUAUUUUGUCAUAUUUUCAGAUACAGGUGCAGCUUGAAUAGAACAGAGGAUUUCCCGUCCGAGUAGCUGCCUUGUUUAUAUUUGUAAAAUAGUUGUUCGAUUAAGUUAAGAAUAAU